rnacentral:rRNA from 1 species
UACGUAGGGUGCAAGCGUUUAAUCGGAAUUACUGGGCGUAAAGCGUGCGCAGGCGGUUAUGUAAGACAGUUGUGAAAUCCCCGGGCUCAACCUGGGAAUUGCAUCUGUGACUGCAUAGCUAGAGUACGGUAGAGGGGGGAUGGAAUUCCGCGUGUAGCAGUGAAAUGCGUAGAUAUGCGGAGGAACACCGAUGGCGAAGGCAAUCCCCUGGACCUGUACUGACGCUCAUGCACGAAAGCGUGGGGAGCAAACGAGG